rnacentral:tRNA from 1 species
AGAAAGUUAGUCUAACGAAGAUAGUUGAUUUCGACUCAACAGACCAUAGCCCCUAAUCUAUGACUUUCUC